AUCCUUUUGUAGUUCAUGAGUGUAAUGAUUGAGUGUUCAUGCACAUGUGUGAGAUAUGCCACCCUUGAACCUUGUUACACUGUUGUCACAUUACCCGUUUGACG
ensembl:snoRNA